AGCAGUUUAGGUAGGGGGUCAGAAGCUUGCAGCCUCCAGCUGCAGGACUCCUCAACCACAAUAUGUAAUUUGGUGGCUAAUGUUAGUCCUACAAAGGCAGUCUAGUUUCCAGGCAAGAAGGAGGUCUGCUUUGGGAAAGGGCUGUUACCGUCCAAACGCUAUUUUAUAAUGACAUGUCUGUCUGCCCUUCCUAUUGGCUUCUGCAUCUCUCCUCUUGUGUUCAGCACCUGGAUUGUGCUCAGGAUGGCAAGAGAACAAAGCAAUCUGCUUGCUGUACUUGGGAUAGAGAAGACCUGCACGAGAAAGCCAGAUAUUCAAGAUGGUGUGAUUUCUAUCACAAGCUCUGAAGCCAACCACCAACAACUACCUAUACUUUAAGGAUGAACAAAUAGAGAAAAAUCAACAGACAUAUGAAAAACCAUCAGUCCUUCAUCAGAAAGAGAUUUAAAGAAUCAGAGCAAAAAUCUCCCGAUGAAGCCAACUUACUACACAGAACUAGAGCAUACAAUACUGUGCAGAUAUAGCAAAUGCAUGCUACAGAAGAAACAUAGACAUGGACACCGGAAUGCAGAGGAAGUUAACAGUGGUGUAGAGAUAUUUACCAUGAAUUUAAGAAGAGUCAUGAUGAACUUAUUUAGGAGAUGGAAUAUAAUGGGAACUCCGCAGGAGGAGAGAGAGAGAGAUGAUGCAGAAGAAACAAUAAACCAAAAAAUUACAAAGUUUCCCCAAGCUCAAGAGAGACUUCAAUCUCCAUAUCAGUUCUAUAACUGGACAAGAUUAAUUAAAAUGAUCCAUAUUUAGAUAAUAUUGUUGAAGUAUCUGUAUCCAGGCAGAAAAUUCUUGUGGCUGCCAAUCAUAUGUUUCCUAGGAAGUUUUCAAUACUAUAAUAGAAGACAAUGAAUCAGCUAGAGUUUUGCAGCAAAAAUCAUUGUAACCCAAGUACUGUACAUCCUGCUAAAGAUCAUUCAUGUGCAAGAGCAGUAGAAAGACAUUCUCGGGCAUAAAAGAAAUCAGAGAGCAAAUUACCAAUGUGCUGUUCUUGAAAAUAUAAAUCAAUAAAGUAUUUGUUACCAACUAAGGAAUGCAUUGACAUGAACUUAUGAAUGAGAAAGAUGGAAAAAAAAUGGCAGAGAGAAACUAAGCCAGUAAAAACACAGAGGUAAAGCUGAAUGAUUAUUGUUAUGACUAUAGAGUUAUUGAAAAAAUAAAAAUAUAAUGGGAGAAAUAGUAAAUAACAUUUAAAAAAAUCCCAGAUUAUUCCCAUAAAAGCUAGGAGAUGGAGUAGUAUGAGAAAGCGUAUUCAUUGUUCACAGAAAUCCAUUCUGCCCUCCUGCCACAGAAAUAGAAUUGAGGCUGAGUUAGUUAGACAAUGGUUUUUGUUCAGUUAGACUCACCUAGUGCUUGCUGAUAAUAAUGGCCAUGUGACUAUCUUCUUAUAAAUGGUAAUCUAGUUAGACUACUGUAUACUUAGUGCUCACCAAUAUAUGUGGCUAUAUGAGCACUUCUUAUAAAUAAAAUGAGAGCAGGAGUGAUGAUUUCCACUUCUAGGUCUCACUGAACCUUAAAGAUGAGAUGAUGACAGUGCCCAAGUGGAUGGGGGAUGAUGUCUUGGGAGGAACUUGGGUCGCUGAUUACAUAAGGAGCUGUUCUGCUGAUCCCGACCAUUCACAUAUGGACUGUUAAGUGAGUGAGAAGUGAACUUCUUUCUUAAGUCACUGUAUCAUUGGAACUUUUUGCUACAGUAGAGUAGCUUUAUUCUGACCUAUGUAGGUAGUGUAAGAGGAAGAAAAAUUGUGCUUAAAGCAAUACGUGGGAUUAUCCUUGUGGAGAAAAAAUACAAUCUAAACAUAUAAUAUUUUUAUGACAAUUAGAUGAUCUUAUACAUAUUGUUUUGAACUUGAUUUUUACAUGAAAUAAUAUAUUUUGGUCAUUCUUCAUGCCAAUAUAUAAAGAGUUACAUAUUAUUUGUAACUUUCAAAUAGUAUUCUAUAGUAUGAUGGCUCUAUAAUAUAUUGAAUUAUUUAUUCUAUGUGGGAAUUACACUUUUUUCUUAAUAUUGGGCUAUUAUAAAUAAUUCUAUAGUGAACUGUUAUAUGCACAUGUGCAAGAAUUUCUAUAGAUUAGAUUAUUCGAGGUGUGGAAUUUCUGGUGUAAAGGCAUGCAUAUAGGGGUUGCAAAAUUGAGCUCUGGAGAUCAGGGGGUCAGAGGUAAGUGUUCUAGGUGGUUCUCUUGGCAGCCUCCUCCCCUGCUGGUAUUUAUGGUUGGCUGGAGUCUGCAGCUGGUAUAAUUCAUGAUUUUCCCCUCUUGGCUUGGUUGGGGCCCAGAGGAGCUCCUGGCUAACUCAGCCCUACUUCAAAUUCCAUUGGCUAAAAGCUCCUAUAUGAAUGCGGUAGGAGUCUACUAAAAUUUCUCAGGGUCACCUUUUCUUGCUUUGGUAGCCUCCAUGGCAAGUGUGGUGACUAUUAACCUAGUGUCUAUACCACCUGACUUAAAAGUGAUUUGAAACCGGGUGCGGUGGCUCACGCCUGCAAUUUCAGCACUUUGAGAGGCCGAGGCAGGCAUCUCACCUUAAGUCAGGAAUUCGAGACCAGCCUGGCCAACAUGGUGAAACCCCGUCUCUACUAAAAAUACAAAAAUUAGCCAAGCGUGGUGGUGGGCACCUGUAAUCCCAGCUACUCGGGAGGCUGAGGCAUGAGAGAAUCACUUGAACCUGGAGGUGGAGGUUGCAGUGAGUUGAGAUCGCGCCACUGCACUCCACUCUGGGUGACAGAGUGACUCUGUCUCAAAAAAAAAAAAAAAAAAAGAAAAGAAAAGAAAAGAAAAAAGUGGUUUGAGAAGGUUAAGCUUCCUUCUAGAUAAUGCUGCACUCUCACAUUGCUGUGGUAACACCCUGGGUAGGGUUAGAAAGCAGCCUGAGAUGUUUCCAGUUUUCUCAAUAGGCAUGGGGCAAUAACUCCCCUUUUGGCUUCAUUAUUACUACAGAUGACAUAAUGGAUCUUCCCCUCCCUGAACUAGAGCCCUGAAAUGGCAAAUCUGGUCCCUCAUCUAAGUAUUAUUCUUUUUAUUUUUCAACCCUCCCUUUUUCCACUCUCUCUGUCUCUCUCUCUCUUACUUAAAAGUUCUUCUUGGGAGAGGGCAAGUUUCUUUCAUUUUCCAUGUAUGAUAUCGUCCAUCUUUCUGACUCAUGCUUAGCCUUACCAGUGGUGAAAUAGAUCUCCUCUA
rnacentral:lncRNA from 1 species